AUAGAAUUAUUGCUGCGGUUAAAAAGCUCGUAGUUGGAUCUGUGCCAUAGGACGUGGUCCACCUUCGGGUGCGUACUACGCUCCUAGGCUUUUUGCUGGUUUUCCCGUCGUAGCCUUCACUGGUUGCGGCGGGUGGCUGGCGAGUUUACUUUGAGAAAAUCAGAGUGCUCAAUACAGGCGUAUCGCUUGAAUGAUUGUGCAUGGAAUAAUAGAAAAGGAUUUCGGUCCUCUUUUAUUGGUUUUGUGGACUGAGAUAAUGGUUAACAGAGACGAACGGGGGCAUUCGUAUUGCUGCGUGAGAGGUGAAAUUCUUGGACCGCAGCAGGACGGACUUCAG
rnacentral:rRNA from 1 species